rnacentral:rRNA from 1 species
GACGAACGCUGGCGGCGUGCUUAACACAUGCAAGUCGAACGGUAAGGUCCUUCGGGGUACACGAGUGGCGAACGGGUGAGUAACACGUGGGUGAUCUGCCCUGCACUUCGGGAUAAGCCUGGGAAACUGGGUCUAAUACCGGAUAGGACCCUGGGAUGCAUGUCCUGGGGUGGAAAGCUUUUGCGGUGUGGGAUGGGCCCGCGGCCUAUCAGCUAGUUGGUGAGGUAAUGGCUCACCAAGGCGACGACGGGUAGCCGGCCUGAGAGGGUGACCGGCCAAACUGGGAAUGGGACACGGCCCAGACUCCUCCGGGAGGCAGCAGUGGGGAAUAUUGCACCAUGGGCGAAAGCCUGAGGCAGGAGCGCCGCGCGAGGGAUGAAGGCCGUCGGGUUGUAAACCUCUUUCAGCUAUGACGAAGCGCAAGUGACGGUAGUAGCAGAAGAAGGACCGGCCAACUACGUGCCAGCCGCCGCGGUAA